rnacentral:rRNA from 1 species
GACAGAGGUGCCAAGCGUUAGGCGGAAUCACUGGGCUUAAAGCGUGUGUAGGCGGGUGCCUAAGUAACUUGUGAAAUCCCCCGGCUCAACCGGGGAACGGCUGGGUAUACUGGGUGCCUUGGGUCAUCUAGGGGCUGCCGGAACAAAUGGUGGAGCGGUGAAAUGCGUAGAUAUCAUUUGGAACGCCAACGGCGAAAGCAGGCAGCUGGGGAUGCACCGACGCUGAGACACGAAAGCCAGGGGAGCGAACGGG